rnacentral:rRNA from 1 species
GAUGAACGCUAGCGGCAGGCUUAAUACAUGCAAGUCGAACGGUAAGGUCUCUUCGGAGAUACACGAGUGGCGCACGGGUGCGUAACGCGUAUGCAACCUACCUUUAACUGGGAAAUAGCCCCGAGAAAUCGGGAUUAAUGUCCCAUACUAUUCUGAGAAUGCAUAUUCUUAGAAUGAAAGCUCCGGCGGUUAUUGAUGGGCAUGCGUGACAUUAGCUAGUUGGUGAGGUAACGGCUCACCAAGGCUACGAUGUCUAGGGGUCCUGAGAGGGUUAACCCCCCACACUGGUACUGAGACACGGACCAGACUCCUACGGGAGGCAGCAGUAAGGAAUAUUGGGCAAUGGACGCAAGUCUGACCCAGCCAUGCCGCGUGAAGGAUGAAUGUCCUAUGGAUUGUAAACUUCUUUUAUGCAGGAAAAAUAUCUCGGUCGUGAACCGGGACUGAUGGUACUGUAUGAAUAAGCAUCGGCUAACUCCGUGCCAGCAGCCGCGGUAA